rnacentral:lncRNA from 1 species
CGGCGUACUGCAGUACAUGAUAUAUAAGGCAUGAAGAUGUUAUUGUUACAGAUCAGCUAAAUUAUCUAUAGUAAAGGAUCCUACAAAUUAAUGUAAUAUACAGUCACAGAAAAUAAUUAUAUUUAUAAGUACGUCUGAGUCAGUGACAACUCUACAACAGAUGUAUCCAUCGGAUCGCCAUCAAUGAUGGUGAUACAUGGCUGUGUACAUAAUGUAUAUACAACUCGUCUAAACAUCAACCCAACAAUGUUAGAUCUGUAAAUUUGCUUUCGCAAAUUUUUGGUUCUUCCCUCGCCGGGAUUCGAACCCAUGCUACUGUGAUAUCGUGACACCAAAUCGCUUGCACUGCAGCCGUCCCGCUAGACCACACGAC